GUGAGGAAUAUUGGUCAAUGGGCGGUAGCCUGAACCAGCCAAGUCGCGUGAGGGAAGACGGCCCUACGGGUUGUAAACCUCUUUUGCCGGGGAGCAAUGACAUUCUUGCGAGAGUGUAGGGAGAGUACCCGGAGAAAAAGCAUCGGCUAACUCCGUGCCAGCAGCCGCGGUAAUACGGAGGAUGCGAGCGUUAUCCGGAUUUAUUGGGUUUAAAGGGUGCGUAGGCGGCGUUCCAAGUCAGCGGUAAAAUUGCGGGGCUCAACCCCGCCGAGCCGUUGAAACUGGCGCGCUUGAGUGGGCGAGAAGUAUGCGGAAUGCGUGGUGUAGCGGUGAAAUGCAUAGAUAUCACGCAGAACCCCGAUUGCGAAGGCAGCAUACCGGCGCCCUACUGACGCUGAAGCACGAAAGCGUGGGUAUCGAACAGGA
rnacentral:rRNA from 1 species